UGAUUAUUUAUAGUAAUGAUAGUUGUUAGCAGACUUUUUUUUUUUUUUUCUGAACAAAUUUCGAUUUUAAAUGAGCUGUAAUGAAUGAGAUAGAUAAUGAUUUCCAAGAGCAUACAGAUAAUGUGUCGCAUUGUCGCAGGGUAUCUAAUGUACUUUCCACUAUCCGACUACCACAUAUAAAAGUAUCUGGUAUUGAAUUUCCUCUGACAAAUAUAGCUUUUCCUUCAGUUCUUUCACAACAUGUUUCUUUCUAUCUCGCUAGAAAGACAAUUAAAAUUGUUUCUGAACAUUUAUAUAUAUUUUGAACUGCUAGCAUUCUGAGAUUGCCGACAACAGAAACUAUUUUUAAAGAAUUUUCAGAUUGAGGAAAACAAUGGAG
rnacentral:lncRNA from 1 species